GAUGCUAAUACCGGAUAACAACAGAUGAUGCCUAUCAACUGUUUAAAAGAUGGCUCUGCUAUCACUCUUGGAUGGACCUGCGGUGCAUUAGCUAGUUGGUAGGGUAACGGCCUACCAAGGCGAUGAUGCAUAGCCGAGUUGAGAGACUGAUCGGCCACAUUGGGACUGAGACACGGCCCAAACUCCUACGGGAGGCAGCAGAC
rnacentral:rRNA from 1 species